GCACGUAGUUAGCCGGCUGCUUAUUCUUCAGGUACCGUCAUUAGCAUUCCGUAUUAGGAAACACCGUUUCUUCCCUGACAAAAGAGCUUUACAACCCGAAGGCCUUCUUCACUCACGCGGCAUUGCUGGAUCAGGGUUGCCCCCAUUGUCCAAAAUUCCCCA
rnacentral:rRNA from 1 species